CCCUCACCACUCCCUUCCUCCGCCAAUAAAGUCGUUUUCAUUGGCUGUCUGAUUUCCUCCGAGCUCAGCUCUGAGAUAAAGAACCGCAUAUCCUGGGUCUUUUGCUUUUCGGGUCAGCGAGUUGGAGCAGCAGGUCGCCACGAUGAAGAAAAGCUUGAUUGGUCUCCUCGUUUGCUGCCUGCUGGCUCAUAUGAGUGCGGGGGGAAAAGGUCAAGGAACCACGCAGCAAUCGAACGCUACAAAAACUAAGGAAGCCCCAAAAGGAAAUGGAGCUGCCGUAUUUAUCCCAGCCACUGCCACGGUCCUGCUUCUGUCCCUGCUCCCAGUCGCCUUGCAGAAAGCUACGUGUUAACUCAGUGGCCCCUGGGCAGCCAUCUUCAGCCGGCUCGCGCGACGCUGUGGAAACCGUCCCGUCCUGCUGACCUUCAUUCUCCAAUGUGUUCUCAAGUUCGGCCACUGAAACGAGUCCGUUAAAUCUCUGAUCACCGACUGAUGCCCGCUCCUCAUUCCUUGGCCCACUCUACCUUUUACAGCCUGCCCUCCGGCAUAAAUCCUGUAAAUAAUCUCACAAAACCACCAUUGUCAAAAAGGAGAGAGAGAUAAUUGGCAGGUAACCACAAGAUGUUGUAGAAGGUCAUAGAACAGGAAGCAGAACACCUUCAAAUUUCCCCAUUCUCUGUGUAAUAUGUUGCCUUUUGGCUUCAAGCCAUUUAUAAUUUCACGGCAAUAAAAACAUUUUAAUAUUG